GCUGCUGCUACUCUCUCCCUCUCCACGCCUCGCCCUACUGCUCCGCUCUUGCGUACGCGCCGCGCGCCACGCAAGGAGGCCGAGCGCGACGACGCGCUAAGCCACCCACCGUUGUCGCCACUACCGAGCGCCGCCCCUAUGUUCGAUUCACCCUCCUCCGUCCAUCUUUCUUCGAUUACCCGCGCCCACACCUUCGCCUCGGUUCCCUCUACGUUCCCAGUCCUUUGGUUGGUCAUGUGAACCGCUGUGGAGCCUGGGCCACGACCGCCAUUGUCGCUGCCGUGGAGCUCCAGGACGCGCCACCGCCCUCGCAGGUAGCCGCGCGGGAACGUCGUCGCUGGAGCGGUGGGUGUGAGCGUUAGUGGGUGAUGGCCUCAUGGCGUGACCAUGGGAACAAAGGUCGUGUGCACAAGGUUGUUCACCGUCCAUCUCCAUCUCUGGCGUCAUGGCGUCCCCUGUCGUCUACACUACUACUUCGGCGGCGGCACGUCUGCCCGUAGGUUGUUCGAUGGGAUGCCACACUGGAGUUAUUCACGUUCGUGCACCGGUUGACUCCGGGCCGAACCCGUUCACGUUCUCGAGAAUCCUGAACUGCAGUCUAAUUUAUGUUAGCUUCUA